rnacentral:lncRNA from 1 species
AAAAAAACUUUGUUUUCCAAGAUCUUUCAUCUCAAACUCUUUCUUGAGAUAUUCAACUGUUUGGAAAAUUGUAUCCAGAGGUUUCUAGGAUAUUCAGAUCAUAUACUUUGAUGAUUAUCAAUAUUGUUCUCGAGAACUUGCUAUUCUUUCAGCUCAAUACCCUCUAGUACUUUCAUUAUCCAGUGCACCAUAUAAAUAUGCAAUCACUACAUCAAUUUGUUGCAAGUCUAACAAUCUGAUCGAACAUAUUGAGUCAUCGACCUAAAAUACACACACACGAAAUCUUGGAUGAUGUUGCUGUGAUAUGCAUGUACCACCAUGUGUAAAACAUAACCUGGCUGAAAACAAAUCGUACUUUCAUUAUCCAGUGCACCAUAUAAAUAUGCAAUCACUACAUCAAUUUGUUGCAAGUCUAACUUUCUCUCUUAUAUAGCAAGACUUAUGAGAAAUCUAAAAGUAGUUGCAUCCACCACAUGGGGUAUGUCUCCUCAUAAUCUAUUACUGGUCUUUGUGAGAAUCCUUGU